UUCUCCACACUGCUGUAAGAAAAUACUUCAGCAGCAACUUAGAUAAAAAGGAAAGCAAAACAACGUAUGGAAGAAAUACUGACAUAAAACAAAAAUAAUUGCUAAAUCAGAAUAUAAUGAUUUCUUCAAUAAGAGAAGAAUUCUAAUACAUUUCGAUGAAUUAACAGGGUUUCGAUGUUUGGAAGCAGAUCAAAAAGAAGACCUCAGAAGAUGCAGUCACAACAAACUAGUAACCAUGCUCCCUACAAAAGAAGUAUUACAGGAAGGCAAGAUAGCAUAAGGCCUGAAAUUUGGCGGAGAGGGAUAGUCAAUUACAUCGAUACCAGUACUCAACUGGUAUUUAAUUUAAUUUAUCGACCCCUGAAAGGAUAAAAGGCAAAGUCAACCCUGGCGGAACUUGAAAUCAGAAUGCAGCAACAGGCAAAAUACUUCUAAGCAUUUCGCCCAGCAUGCUAACAAUUCUGCCAGCUCACCACCUUAAUAAUAAUAAUGAUAAUGAAAAUAAUGGUUUCAAAUUUUGCCACAAGGGUAGGUAUUCUGGGGGAGGGGAUGAGUCGAUUACAUUAACUGCAGUACUCAACAGGCACUUAUUUUAUCAAAAGUUCUAACAAAAUAUGAAAAAAAAAGUUAUUGUUUCAGAAUAAGCAACCCUAUUAUUUUAUUUUUAAUUUUCUUAGAAUUUGUUCAGAUUUUUAUUUGUUACCUUAAACAAGUAAUUACAAGAAAUCUAAAUUACAUAUUUAUUAAUUUUAAAAUUCAUGAGUAAUUAAAAAAGUUAGCUUUAAAUAAAAUUAUAUCAAUAAAAAUAUAUUCCAACAUAAUGAUUUUUCAUAGGUUCCCACAACUAGUUUUGGCAACUGGAAAACCUUUGGGAUUAAAAUCACUAUUAAAAUUAUUGAUAUUUGUCAUUUAACACACUUCACAACCCAAUAUCCCCAACUUACAUCAAGAUGAAUAAACCAAAACUAGGUACCACCUAAAAUGUUAAUUUUUUUCCCUUCUUCCUCAAGUGAAACCUGUUUAGUCCCUUUUUGAACUGCUUAAACUCACUAAUUUCCAACAUAGACCAUCACUAGUUUUCUCAGAUCUUACUGUUUACUUUAAUACAUAUAUGGCUUCAUAUAUGAGGUUAAGGUUAACAACAGCAAAUAACAAAUUACUGACAUAUCAAACUACUGGCCCAGCAAUUUAUAAAUUGUUCCACAAAGUAGAUGACCU